AGGGAGAGAGUUUGAUCAUGGCUCAGAUUGAACGCUGGCGGGUCUUACAUACACAAGUCUGAACGGCAGCACGGACUUCGGUCUCUGGUGGCAGGUGACAGAACAGGUAAUGCAUCGAACGUGCCUGGUAGCCGGGGAUAACUGCAUGAGCGUAGCUAAUACCGCCCAUACGCCCUUCAGGAGGAAGCAGGGGACCUUCGGGCCUCGCACUAGAGCAGCCAUUCUAUCGGAUUAGGAUUGGUGGGGUAACGGCUCACCAAGGCGACGAUCCGUAGCUGGUUUACCCGAGAAGGACGACCAGCCACACUGGGACUGAGACACGGCCCAGACUCCUACGGGGAGGCGAUGAGAAUUUUGGACAAUGGAAACCUGAUCCAGCCAUCCCGCGUGUGCAGAGAGGCCUUCGGGUUGUAAGCACUUUUGGCAGGAAAGAAACGGCCACGGGAUAAUACCCCGAUGCAACUGACAGUACCUGCGAAUAAGCACCAGCGCUCCGUGCCCAGCAGCCCGCGGUAAUACGUAGGAGUGCAAGCGUUAAUCGGAAUUACUGGGCGUAAAGCGUGCGCAGGCGGUUCGGAAAGAAAAGAUAUGAAAUCAGAGCUUAACUGAACUGUUUAACUACGAGCUAGAGUGUGUCAGAGGAGGUGGAAUUCACAUCAGCAACGGUGAAAUGCGUAAGUACUGGAGGAACACCGAUGGCGAAGGCAACAUCCUGAAGGAUAACACUGACGCUCAUGCGAAAGCGUGGGGAGCAAACCGGGAUUACGAUACCUGGUAUUACGCCCUAACGAUCAACCGCUGUUGGGGCCUUCGGGCCUUGGUAGCGCAGCUAACGCGUGAAGUUGACCGCCUGGGAAGUACGGUCGCAAGAUUAAAACUCAAGGAAUUGACGGGGACCCGCACAAGCGGUGGAUGAUGUGGAUUAAUUCGAUGCAACGCAAAAAACCUUACCUACACUUGACAUGUCUGGAAUCCCGAAGAGAUUUGGGAGAUGCUCGCAAGAGAACCGGAACACAGGUGCGGCAUGGCUGUCGUCAGCUCGUGUCGUGAGGAUAUUGGGUUAAGUCCCGCAACAAAGCAACCCUUGUCAUUAGUUGCUACGAAAGGGCACUCCAAUGAGACUGCCGGUGACAAACCGGAGGAAGGUGGGGAUGACGUCAGUCCUCUGGCCCUUAUGGGUAGGGCUUCACACGUCGCAUGCAAUGGUCGGGACGGUCGCCAACCCGCGAGGGAGCCAAUCCCGAAACCCGAUCGUAGUCCGGAUCGCGGUCUGCAACCUCGAGCUUCGUGAAGUCGGGAUCCGCUAGUAAUCGCGGAUCAACUGUCGCGGUGGUCCCGGGUCUUGUACUACCGCCCGUCACACCAUGGGAGUGGUUUUACCAAGUAGUUAUUUCGCCAUGCAGGAGGGCGAUUACCACGGUAGGAUUCAUGACUGGGGUGAAGUCGUAACAAGGUAG
rnacentral:rRNA from 1 species